UUGAGAGUGUCAGCAGGCAUGCAGAUAAUGGUGAUCUAAUCGACACAAUAUACUUGGACUUCCAAGAAGCUUUUGACAAAGUUCCCCACCAAGGGCUCUUGAGUAUACUUAGCAGUCAUGGGAUAAGGGGACAAGUUCAUGUGUGAAUUGAAGGACGGGACUGGUUGAAGGACAGGAAACAGAAGCUUCACCGCAUGAGGAGGAAGAGUUCCUAGCCCACACGCCUUCUUAUCCACCUUCCUGCCGUCCUUCCCCAUCGAACCCAGCAGCUGCAACAGCAGCAGCACCUCCUGUCCAGUUGCUCUUCUCCUCACCUGGAGAAGAAGAAGUUUCCAGCCCAUGUGGUCUUUAUCCUGUCGUUCAGAGGAUAAGAAUUUUGAAAUCGUUCCGCCAGUGAGUAAGAUGAAGAAGGGGGGCCAGGAAUCAAGGUGCUGCAGUUGGGAUAGGACAGGGCUGCACAACUCCACGACUUUAGCCCUUCAGCUAUUGCUGAACUGUGACUCCCAUCAUCAUUAAGAGAUCGAAAGAAGGUGACAGGCUUAGUCUAUCACAGCCGCUGCACAGUGGCAACUUGGAGCUGAGCACUAAGGUGGCAGAACCUCAGCUGAUGGACCAGAAGCAACUGUUUCUGUUUCUCUCAAAGAAAAAUGCAGACUGAUUGCAAGCACUGCUUCUCAAGAU